UGCCCCAAUUUGAAGAGCAGCGAACGGGUGAGUAACGCGUGGGGAAUCUGCCUUUGAGCGGGGGACAACAUUUGGAAACGAAUGCUAAUACCGCAUAAUAACUUUAAACAUAAGUUUUAAGUUUGAAAGAUGCAAUUGCAUCACUCAAAGAUGAUCCCGCGUUGUAUUAGCUAGUUGGUGAGGUAAAGGCUCACCAAGGCGAUGAUACAUAGCCGACCUGAGAGGGUGAUCGGCCACAUUGGGACUGAGACACGGCCCAAACUCCUACGGGAGGCAGCAGUAGGGAAUCUUCGGCAAUGGACGAAAGUCUGACCGAGCAACGCCGCGUGAGUGAAGAAGGUUUUCGGAUCGUAAAACUCUGUUGGUAGAGAAGAACGUUGGUGAGAGUGGAAAGCUCAUCAAGUGACGGUAACUACCCAGAAAGGGACGGCUAACUACGUGCCAGCAGCCGCGGUAAUACGUAGGUCCCGAGCGUUGUCCGGAUUUAUUGGGCGUAAAGCGAGCGCAGGUGGUUUAUUAAGUCUGGUGUAAAAGGCAGUGGCUCAACCAUUGUAUGCAUUGGAAACUGGUAGACUUGAGUGCAGGAGAGGAGAGUGGAAUUCCAUGUGUAGCGGUGAAAUGCGUAGAUAUAUGGAGGAACACCGGUGGCGAAAGCGGCUCUCUGGCCUGUAACUGACACUGAGGCUCGAAAGCGUGGGGAGCAAACAGGAUUAGAUACCCUGGUAGUCCACGCCGUAAACGAUGAGUGCUAGAUGUAGGGAGCUAUAAGUUCUCUGUAUCGCAGCUAACGCAAUAAGCACUCCGCCUGGGGAGUACGACCGCAAGGUUGAAACUCAAAGGAAUUGACGGGGGCCCGCACAAGCGGUGGAGCAUGUGGUUUAAUUCGAAGCAACGCGAAGAACCUUACCAGGUCUUGACAUACUCGUGCUAUUCCUAGAGAUAGGAAGUUCCUUCGGGACACGGGAUACAGGUGUGCAUGGUUGUCGUCAGCUCGUGUCGUGAGAUGUUGGGUAGUCCCGCAACGAGCGCAACCCCUAUUGUUAGUUGCCAUCAUUAAGUUGGGCACUCUAACGAGACUGCCGGUGAUAAACCGGAGGAAGGUGGGGAUGACGUCAAAUCAUCAUGCCCCUUAUGACCUGGGCUACACACGUGCUACAAUGGAUGGUACAACGAGUCGCGAGACAGUGAUGUUUAGCUAAUCUCUUAAAACCAUUCUCAGUUCGGAUUGUAGGCUGCAACUCGCCUACAUGAAGUCGGAAUCGCUAGUAAUGGGACAGCACGCCGCGGUGAAUACGUUCCCGGGCCUUGUACACUCCGCCCGUCACACCACGGGAGUUGGGAGUAUACG
rnacentral:rRNA from 1 species